rnacentral:lncRNA from 1 species
AUGUUCCCUAAGGUUUUACUGCAGUGGUGUGCAGCCCUGUCAAGUUGCGCCGCUGAAAUAGAGAGGCGACGACAGGGCAAAUUUCAGCCGUUCAGACGCCUGUUCGGGAAGAGGAAGAAGAGGCAGGCUGCAGCGAGGAAGGCAAGCUUCUCCUCGGAGGAAGUGUGCAACGGAGUCCUCUCAGACGAUGAAGAGACCAAUCAACAUCUAAGGUACACAGGACAUUCAUGCAUUCUGUUUGUUGUUAUGACAACUAUCCGGCAGUCAUGGUUGCAUUUAUACACUUAGUAAUGUUACUAUAAAGUCAUACAUCUGAGUUGAAUUGUACCUACAUUGCAGUUUUCUUCCUAUUGCUUGAACCGGCCUCCAACGCAAAAUGAAACAAACUCUGAACACGGGUCUUAUCAAUAAUUUAGCUUGCAUGGCCACAUUGCUUUCAUCGCAUUCAGUAUGCCACACUAACCCAGACCACAGAGAAAUCCAAUAAUACUAUUCCCGUUCUAACCCAGCAUGUAUCCCAAAUAUUUUACUGUGUGGCUUCUCGUUUGGCUAUUUUCAGUCGACUAACUCUGCGUCUGCUUGAGAAAGGGGUGCGGUUUAGUUGAAAUGUGGCCUGUAAACUGCCUGACUUACAUUCAGCUUCUAGUCGAGAGUUUGGAGGGUGUGAAUUUUUUUCUGUUUGUGCAACUUAGUACUCCGUAGUGCUGCUACUCCCUGUCAGAAAAGGGUGAGAACGUGAUUUGACUGUCUGCCAUGUCUCAGUAGGGAGCUGCUCCCCAUUGGAUCCCGUUCCUUCUCCCACGACAGCGUGUUCAUCCCAGAGGAACCAGUACAUGAGCCCAGCCCAGAACAGACCAUGUCGCAGGAAAACGUCUCCGAUAAAGUCCGAAACCUGCAGGUGGGCGCACACCCACACGCACGCACAGUCAGAUGUUUACUCCAUGACCAGUUUAUUAAGUACACCCAUUCUAGUAUCAGGUCGAAUCCCUUUACCUCCAGAGCAGAUUAAAUAAUUCAGGGCAUGAAUUCUACAAGGUAGAAUGCGGAUGGUACAGUGGUACGGUCAUGGUGUUACAGCCCGUUCCAUCUCAUCCCAAAGAGCCUCUAUUGGGUUGAGGUGUGGGAACUGCACAGACAACACAAGUAACCUGAACCUGGAUUCAUUGGACCAGGGAAUGUUUUUUCCACUACUCAGUUGUCCAGUGUUGUUGAUCACAUGCUCACGUAUGUAUCUGGUGUGGUCAACUGUUACAAUAGCCCAUCUAAGACGGCUUACAUUGCUGGUUUUCCAGUCAAACGUUUCGCCAAACAGUAUCUGAAUGGGUCAGUGUAUAGAAAUUAUUUUUAGAAUUUUGUUUUUCUGAAUUAUGAUUUGAAAACUAAAAUGAAGUAUUAUGUGUGUGUUGAAUGAUCAGAGGCAGAUAGCGCAGAAUAUUAAGUUCGGCCAGAGGCCCCCAUCUCUGAGGAAGAGUGAGGGA